rnacentral:rRNA from 1 species
GGCAGGUUGAAGGUUGGGUAACACUAACUGGAGGACCGAACCGACUAAUGUUGAAAAAUUAGCGGAUGACCUGUGGCUGGGGGUGAAAGGCCAAUCAAACCGGGAGAUAGCUGGUUCUCCCCGAAAGCUAUUUAGGUAGCGCCUCGUGAAUUCAUCUCCGGGGGUAGAGCACUGUUUCGGCUAGGGGGCCAUCCCGGCUUACCAACCCGAUGCAAACUGCGAAUACCGGAGAAUGUUAUCACGGGAGACACACGGCGGGUGCUAACGUCCGUCGUGAAGAGGGAAACAACCCAGACCGCCAGCUAAGGUCCCAAAGUCAUGGUUAAGUGGGAAACGAUGUGGGAAGGCCCAGACAGCCAGGAUGUUGGCUUAGAAGCAGCCAUCAUUUAAAGAAAGCGUAAUAGCUCACUGGUCGAGUCGGCCUGCGCGGAAGAUGUAACGGGGCUAAACCAUGCACCGAAGCUGCGGCAGCGACACUGUGUGUUGUUGGGUAGGGGAGCGUUCUGUAAGCCUGUGAAGGUGUGUCGUGAGGCAUGCUGGAGGUAUCAGAAGUGCGAAUGCUGACAUAAGUAACGAUAAAGCGGGUGAAAAGCCCGCUCGCCGGAAGACCAAGGGUUCCUGUCCAACGUUAAUCGGGGCAGGGUGAGUCGACCCCUAAGGCGAGGCCGAAAGGCGUAGUCGAUGGGAAACGGGUUAAUAUUCCCGUACUUGGUGUUACUGCGAAGGGGGGACGGAGAAGGCUAUGUUGGCCGGGCGACGGUUGUCCCGGUUUAAGCGUGUAGGUGUGUGUUCCAGGUAAAUCCGGUUCACUUUAACACUGAGGCGUGA